ensembl:lncRNA
UUUACGGCUUUCAGAACAAUCUGGCUCCCACCUCCAGCAGCGUGCUCACCACCAGCGGAGCUAACGUACAUGCUAACGUAGGAGGUACGACAGCAUGCUCGCUGACAUAAUUCCACUAAAUCUCGACACAUUUAGACAUUUUUCCACUGAGUGUUUAUUUGUCUGUAUUUACAGGUUACGGCGUUCAGAAGAACGUGUCAAACGGAGUUGGUGUCAUCAGCACUGGAGUCUCUACAACCACUAGAUCCCAAACUGUCGACGACGCUUAUAAGAAAGACUAUAAGUUCCUGAUCUCUGAGAAGGAGAACGUGCCGGCCAGGAGGGACGCAGAGAUGCUCAUUUUGGCUAAAGACAGCGGGAAGCAGUUCACCAGCAGCAGCAGCGUUCAUAUAGGAGGAGGGUCGCUAUCGGGAGAUUCGAUAAAGAAAGAGAAGCUCAUUUCAAGUUACACGGAGACGAUGCCACUGAAGUCAGAGACGGGCAACUCUUACUGUGAGUGCACGCUUUAAAACACCUCUAAGAAUAAAAAACAAAGUAUUGUGAUUUUUUGAAUGACUUCUGUUUAUUUAUCCCUUCAAUAGAUGGAUCAUCUGGAGUUGUGAUGAAAGACAAAGCCACCUACGCAGGUAUUUUUGACUGAAUAUAUUCUGAUAUUUACAUAACAAGCAUUUUAGUUUUUUGAAAGUGAUGAUUUCACUCUUUUCUCCGUCUUCAGAGAUUCACAGAGACAGCGGCGCCUUCGGAGGUGGAGGACUGUGCUGCUGCUCCGACUCCUGCUGCUCCUGGUGGAAGUGGCUGCUGGGUCUUCUCCUCCUCUCCCUGCUCCUGCUCGGACUCCUGUUUGGGCUCAUUGCACUGGCUGAGGAUGUGAGAAAGCUGAAGAAUCGCGUGGCGACCCUGGAGACCAAGUCCUCCGUCGCUGCUGCUCGUACCGGUCGGCUGGCAGGUUCUGACAAUGACAUCUAUAUGGCCGGUGGAGCUGCUGGAGGAGGUGGACACACUGACAACACGCUACACCUGGGAGCUGGAGGAGGAGGAGGAGGAGGAGACUCCAAAACACGAAUCGCAAUUGCCACUGGGGCAGGUGGUGCAGGUGGCACCGGUAGCAAUGGCAUCGAUGUCAGCAUGGCUGCUGGUGCUGGUGGUGCUGGUGCUGGUACCGCUGGCGCUGGUGGGUCUACUGGGGCCAGAGCUGGAGGUGCUGGCACAGGCAGUGACACCAGUUACAGUGGAACCAGUUACAGUAGCACCAGUUACAGUGAUACCAGUUACAGUGGCAGUGCCGGUAGUGCUGGUGGUACUGGACACAGUGGUGGUGGUGGUUCUGGACACAGGGGCGGUGCCGGCAGUGCUGGAACCAGUUACAGUGGCAGCGUUGGCAGCGCUGGUGGUACCACAGGAUUGGGUGUGAGUGGAGGACACACUGACGCUUCUCUUCAGCUGAUGAUCCAACACAUGUUAAGAAAUGAAAUGCAGUCACAAGCAUUCAGAGGUACUAAUACACACACACACACACACGCGCGCGCGCGCGCGCACACACACACACACAUGCACACACACACACACACACACACACACACACGCACACACACACUACAUUUUCUGAUCUGUUGUUUUCUGUUUCAGCCUUCUUGA